UACGGGGGGGGCUAGCGUUGUUCGGAAUUACUGGGCGUAAAGCGCACGUAGGCGGCUUUGCAAGUCAGAGGUGAAAGCCCGGGGCUCAACCCCGGAAUUGCCUUUGAGACUGCAUCGCUAGAAUUGUGGAGAGGUAAGUGGAAUUCCGAGUGUAGAGGUGAAAUUCGUAGAUAUUCGGAAGAACACCUGUGGCGAAAGCGGCUCACUGGACCAUAACUGACGCUGAUGCACGAAAGCUAGGGGAGCAAACAGG
rnacentral:rRNA from 1 species